rnacentral:rRNA from 1 species
CGCGGCCUAUCAGCUUGUUGGUGGGGUAAUGGCCUACCAAGGCGACGACGGGUAGCCGGCCUGAGAGGGCGACCGGCCACACUGGGACUGAGACACGGCCCAGACUCCUACGGGAGGCAGCAGUGGGGAAUAUUGCGCAAUGGGCGAAAGCCUGACGCAGCAACGCCGCGUGAGGGAUGAAGGCCUUCGGGUUGUAAACCUCUUUCAGCAGGGAAGAAGCGCCUGGGUUUUCUCAAGCGUGACGGUACCUGCAGAAGAAGCACCGGCUAACUACGUGCCAGCAGCCGCGGUAAUACGUAGGGUGCAAGCGUUGUCCGGAAUUAUUGGGCGUAAAGAGCUUGUAGGCGGUUUGUCGCGUCGGCUGUGAAAACUCGGGGCUCAACCCCGAGCCUGCAGUCGAUACGGGCAGACUAGAGUGCUGUAGGGGAGACUGGAAUUCCUGGUGUAGCGGUGAAAUGCGCAGAUAUCAGGAGGAACACCGGUGGCGAAGGCGGGUCUCUGGGCAGUAACUGACGCUGAGGAGCGAAAGCGUGGGGAGCGAACAGGAUUAGAUACCCUGGUAGUCCACGCCGUAAACGGUGGGUGCUAGGUGUGAGCGGUAUUCCACGCCGUUCGUGCCGCAGCUAACGCAUUAAGCACCCCGCCUGGGGAGUACGG